AUUGAACGCUGGCGGCAUGCCUUACACAUGCAAGUCGAACGGUAACAGGGAGCUUGCUCCGCUGACGAGUGGCGAACGGGUGAGUAAUGUAUCGGAACGUACCAUUCAGUGGGGGAUAACGUAGCGAAAGUUACGCUAAUACCGCAUAUUCUGUGAGCAGGAAAGCAGGGGAUCGCAAGACCUCGCGCUAUUGGAGCAGCCGAUGUCCGAUUAGGUAGUUGGUGGGGUAAAGGCCUACCAAGCCUGCGAUCGGUAACUGGUCUGAGAGGGUGACCGGCCCGAGGGGCACUGAGAUACGGGUCCCACUCCUACGGGAGGCAGCAGGCUAGAAAUUUGGGCAAUGGGGGAAACCCUGACCCAGUGACGCCGCGUGCAGGAAGGAGCCCUUCGGGGUGUAAACUGCUGUCGUGUAGGGAGAAGGGUACUAAGGUGAACAAUCUUAGUACUUGACGGUACUACAGGAGGAAGCCCAGGCUAACCUCGUG
rnacentral:rRNA from 1 species